rnacentral:lncRNA from 1 species
UGGUGACCCAACCGUGAUUGUUUUGGGAGUUGGAGCCUUCUGCAAAGGAUCAGGUGCCUCUGUAACUUCUUUGACACUACUUGGAAGGUGGUUCCAGUUAGAUCGGGUCUUCCUCCAGAUGUGAAUCCACCUCCAUGGACUCUCCAUCAGUCUCAGGAGAAACCACAUGUAUCGACACAAUGGUACUUGUCCUCUCCAUCAGCUGCCAUUUUUAGUAGGAUUAUCAGUCUUCCUUACUAACAAGGAACUUUACAUGUGUCUCUUGCACAAAGAGUGUUUGAAAGGUGGCUUCUAUGGCUGAACAACCGUUGUUUUAUUUGCAUGUUCCCUGUAUUUAUAUGGCAUGGAACAGAAGGCACUGUGGUGGCUAUUGACAUUAGGUGGCAACUGGAAUGUGAUUCUGAGAGCGUAAUGUGGUGACCUAAUUUUGGUUGUUUUGGGAUCC